AACGCCAAACUUUUGCACGCGUUUGGUUUUUUGAAUGAAAGUCAAUGGGACGAAAAGUGGUAUCGACUGGGAGAAUCUCCUCUCCACCGCACGAUACACGAUGAUUAUAGAGAAGAGAAAGAAAUACGCCCGAAUCAACGCUGUAAACGAGCGAUUAAGCGAUGCGGCUACUACCAUGAGAACACAAAGCCAUGAGUGUCUAUAAGAGGCUACAACUCACGGAUUCGUGGAUUUGAUGGAAAAAGAAGAGUCAGCCGCUCCUGUCUUGUGCUGUUUGAACUCUCAAUCUGGCGGCACCCAUUCACUGCAGAGGAUCCAUUGGAGGGCAAGUGAUAUAAUGCUAAAUUUCUACAAAUCUGUUGUGUUGAAGAGACAAGCUCAUCUACAAUCUGGACAGCUUGCAAGAGUGCGGAAGAAUAUGGCCUGAUAUGGAUCACCUCAGAUUUAAUAUCUGUGGCGAUUGUCAUCGGCAUCUUCAUUUUUCAGAAGUGGAAGAUGAGUGGUAUGCGCAGCUACAACCCUGAGCAGAUCAUGCUAAGCGCUGUAGUACGUCGGCCGAGUCGUGACGUCAACCUCAUGAAGGAGAAACUGAUCUUCUCAGAGAUCAACAAUGGUGUUGGGAGCACAGAUGAGCUCUCCGCAUACACAGGAAACGGACUGGGCGCGUAUGCACGCGAUGACAUCAUGACACCCGCACGUCACGCAAUGAAACUUUAGUGACGACUUGAAUCCAUUUUAUGGAGCUCAAAAUAAUUAAUUUAGACUGAGUUGCUUUUUGAACAUUCAUCUCCAAUGGGUCUUUAUUUUGGACAGUUUUCGUUGGUUCUCGGACACUCUGGCACUGUAUUCCACUGAUUCAGUGUUCUGCUUUGAUGCCUUACAUACUGAUGUUUUUUUUUUUCUGUAUUGAACCGUAUUUAAAAUGGAGCUGAGUUAUUGUAAAGUUUAGGUAAUAAAAGUGUCCUAUUAUUAAUGUUUCUGAAGAACAGAUCUGAAGAUGAAUGGAUUUAAUGUUAAAGCAUGCAGAAAUCAGAUUCAGAGAUUCAGAGCCCUUGUAAAGCUUGACUGUAGGCUUAUAUGAUUGAUUUUUUUUUUUUCUAUUUAUUUUAUUUUUUUUUGUAAAAUAUCAUUUGCUUGCUGAUGAUUCGUAUAUAAUUGCACUAGCCUAAGAUCAGUUUUCUUCUACCUUGCUAUGUCGAUGUCUUUUUAAGUGAUUUGUUUUGUAAUAAAAUCUCUGAAUUGCA